rnacentral:misc_RNA from 1 species
GAUGAAGAACGCAGCGAAAUGCGAUAAGUAAUGUGAAUUGCAGAAUUCAGUGAAUCAUCGAAUCUUUGAACGCACAUUGCGCCCCCUGGUAUUCCGGGGGGCAUGCCUGUUUGAGCGUCAUUUCACCACUCAAGCCUCGCUUGGUAUUGGGCAACGCGGUCCGCCGCGUGCCUCAAAUCGACCGGCUGGGUCUUCUGUCCCCUAAGCGUUGUGGAAACUAUUCGCUAAAGGGUGUUCGGGAGGCUACGCCGUAAAACAACCCCAUUUCUAAGGUUGACCUCGGAUCAGGUAGGGAUACCCGCUGAACUUAAGCAUAUCAUAAGCGGAGGA